AGUGAACGCUGGCGGUAGGCCUAACACAUGCAAGUCGAACGGCAGCACAGUAAGAGCUUGCUCUUACGGGUGGCGAGUGGCGGACGGGUGAGGAAUACAUCGGAAUCUACUUUUUCGUGGGGGAUAACGUAGGGAAGCUUACGCUAAUACCGCAUACGACCUACGGGUGAAAGCAGGGGAUCUUCGGACCUUGCGCGAUUGAAUGAGCCGAUGUCGGAUUAGCUAGUUGGCGGGGUAAAGGCCCACCAAGGCGACGAUCCGUAGCUGGUCUGAGAGGAUGAUCAGCCACACUGGAACUGAGACACGGUCCAGACUCCUACGGGAGGCAGCAGUGGGGAAUAUUGGACAAUGGGCGCAAGCCUGAUCCAGCCAUACCGCGUGGGUGAAGAAGGCCUUCGGGUUGUAAAGCCCUUUUGUUGGGAAAGAAAAGCAGCAGGUUAAUACCCCGCUGUCCUGACGGUACCCAAAGAAUAAGCACCGGCUAACUUCGUG
rnacentral:rRNA from 1 species